GAUGAACGCUGGCGGCGUGCCUAAUACAUGCAAGUCGAGCGAACAGACGAGGAGCUUGCUCCUCUGACGUUAGCGGCGGACGGGUGAGUAACACGUGGAUAACCUACCUAUAAGACUGGGAUAACUUCGGGAAACCGGAGCUAAUACCGGAUAACAUGUUGAACCACAUGGUUCAACAGUGAAAGACGGUCUUGCUGUCACUUAUAGAUGGAUCCGCGCCGCAUUAGCUAGUUGGUAAGGUAACGGCUUACCAAGGCAACGAUGCGUAGCCGACCUGAGAGGGUGAUCGGCCACACUGGAACUGAGACACGGUCCAGACUCCUACGGGAGGCAGCAGUAGGGAAUCUUCCGCAGUGGGCGAAAGCCUGACGGAGCAACGCCGCGUGAGUGAAGAAGGUCUUCGGAUCGUAAAACUCUGUUAUUAGGGAAGAACAAAUGUGUAAGUAACUAUGCACGUCUUGACGGUACCUAAUCAGAAAGCCACGGCUAACUACGU
rnacentral:rRNA from 1 species